rnacentral:rRNA from 1 species
CCUACGGGAGGCAGCAGUGGGGAAUAUUGCACAAUGGGGGGAACCCUGAUGCAGCAACGCCGCGUGAGUGAUGAAGGUCUUCGGAUUGUAAAGCUCUGUCUUCAGGGACGAUAAUGACGGUACCUGAGGAGGAAGCCACGGCUAACUACGUGCCAGCAGCCGCGGUAAUACGUAGGUGGCAAGCGUUGUCCGGAUUUACUGGGCGUAAAGGGAGCGUAGGCGGACACUUAAGUGGGAUGUGAAAUCCCCGGGCUUAACCCGGGAGCUGCAUUCCAAACUGGGUGUCUAGAGUGCAGGAGAGGAAAGUGGAAUUCCUAGUGUAGCGGUGAAAUGCGUAGAGAUUAGGAAGAACACCAGUGGCGAAGGCGACUUUCUGGACUGUAACUGACGCUGAGGCUCGAAAGCGUGGGGAGCAAACAGGAUUAGAUACCCUUGUAGUCAA